rnacentral:rRNA from 1 species
CACGGGGGUUGCGAGCGUUGUCCGGAAUUACUGGGGCGUAAAGGGCGCGUAGGCGGUUUUUUUAAGUUAGAUGUGAAAACCCAGGGCUUAACUUUGGGCGUGCAUUUAAAACUGGAGAGCUUGAGUGCAGGAGAGGUAAGUGGAAUUCCUAGUGUAGCGGUGAAAUGCGUAGAUAUUAGGAGGAACACCAGUGGCGAAGGCGACUUACUGGACUGUAACUGACGCUGAGGCGCGAAAGCGUGGGGAGCAAACAGGAUUAGAUACCCUGGUAGUCCCUGAGCGGGGCU